rnacentral:lncRNA from 1 species
GUUUUCACUCUUUUUGUUUGAAGGCCAAUGUGGUAAGGGGUUUUCGCUUUUUCUUCUGUCUCGUUCUUGUUGGUGUAGGCAUCCUCUCUUUGGCCAAAUAGUGCCUUUCUCAAUAGUCUCUUUUUCUUUCUUUUCCAAGUAAUUCUACUGGUAGCUAAUUUAUCUUCUCUCCUUUUUCAUUCAUUCUUUCUUUAUCUUCUACCGAAACCUCU